CCAGAUUCUCACAGACUACAAGAACCCCAAUACCACCCCCGCUUCUACUGAUAGACAGGCUCAAUUUCAAGGCGUCAAAUUACAAAGUCAAAUUUCGUUUAGGUCCUAUUUGACAUCUUUUGACAUACACUGCCUGGCCAAAAAAAAGCCGCCA